rnacentral:rRNA from 1 species
GAUCAUGGCUCAGGAUGAACGCUAGCUACAGGCUUAACACAUGCAAGUCGAGGGGCAGCGGGAUUGAAGCUUGCUUCAAUUGCCGGCGACUGGCGCACGGGUGAGUAACGCGUAUCCAACCUUCCGUACACUCAGGGAUAGCCUUUCGAAAGAAAGAUUAAUACCUGAUGGUAUGAUGAGAUUGCAUGAUAGCAUCAUUAAAAGAUUUAUCGGUGUACGAUGGGA